rnacentral:rRNA from 1 species
AGCAGCCGCCACGGGAAUACGGAGGGUGCAAGCGUUAAUCGGAAUUACUGGGCGUAAAGCGCACGCAGGCGGUCUGUCAAGUCAGAUGUGAAAUCCCCGGGCUUAACCUGGGAACUGCAUUUGAAACUGGCAGGCUAGAGUCUUGUAGAGGGGGGUAGAAUUCCAGGUGUAGCGGUGAAAUGCGUAGAGAUCUGGAGGAAUACCGGUGGCGAAGGCGGCCCCCUGGACAAAGACUGACGCUCAGGUGCGAAAGCGUGGGGAGCAAACAGGAUUAGAUACCCCUGUAGUCCCUGUCUCUUAU